AUUGAACGCUGGCGGCAUGCUUUACACAUGCAAGUCGAACGGUAACAGGGUGCUUGCACCGCUGACGAGUGGCGAACGGGUGAGUAAUGCGUCGGAACGUGCCGAGUAGUGGGGGAUAACGCAGCGAAAGUUGUGCUAAUACCGCAUACGUACUGAGGUAGAAAGUGGGGGACUUUCGGGUCUCACGCUAUUCGAGCGGCCGACGUCUGAUUAGCUAGUAGGUGAGGUAACGGCUCACCUAGGCGACGAUCAGUAGCGGGUCUGAGAGGAUGAUCCGCCACACUGGGACUGAGACACGGCCCAGACUCCUACGGGAGGCAGCAGUGGGGAAUUUUGGACAAUGGGCGAAAGCCUGAUCCAGCCAUGCCGCGUGUCUGAAGAAGGCCUUCGGGUUGUAAAGGACUUUUGUCGGGGAGGAAAUCCCCAGCGUUAAUACCGCUGGGGGAUGACAGUACCUGAAGAAUAAGCACCGGCUAACUACGUGCCAGCAGCCGCCGUAACAC
rnacentral:rRNA from 1 species